AGUCAUGCUUGGGACAUUCCCUGCUCUCACCAUCUCAGCUGCUACAUAACCUGCUGGGCAGGGGGAAGCAGAGCUGUCCUAAAACCCUGAGCUGAAAGAUGAUGCAGGUGUGAGCAGACACUUCCCACAGACAGUAUGCACAGCAAGAGUUCAAAAAACAUCAACUCUGCAGAAGAAAGUCAAAAAACCCCACUGCUUUGGGCAUGGAAGACUGAACUGGACAAAACAGGAACAGCUCCUCCAGGCACUGACCACAGCCUGUAGUUAGAGGAAAGUGGACAAAAAACGUUUCAGGCUCAAUUCAUCAAACUCCAUCAGGCUCUUUCUUGCAAGGGCAAUACUAACAGGGAGCCAGCAACAGCAGUCCUGGGAGUUUGAUACACUGUCCAUGAAGCUCCAGCCUAUUAGCACUGACGUAUCACUAGUCUUUUGGACUAGAAAUCUACCUUUGCAACUCGCACUCAUGACAGAGGUGAUGAAACAUGAGUAGCUUGGGGAGUCAAGACUUUUUUUAACAUUCUUAUUUUAAAAUCUUUUUUUUUUUUUCCUUUUUUUUCUCCUAUCAAAGUCAACACAUUGAUGCCUUCUGCAGGUGACUCUGACCAGUGUGGGAUGUUCUGUUUUCAUUCAAACCCCACAACUCUCCACUGUGGGGUCCUAUACUUGGGGUUAGCCAAUGCGCUUUUGCCUUUCAUAAAUGGAAACAAAUACACAAGAUGGCAGAAGGUAGCAAGUCAGGUCCCUAUCUGUGCCCCUGUUUGAACAUCUGAUAUCCUCCACCUCCAUCAUCACGAGGGUUUAUUUUUGCCAUUAGAUUACUUCUAUUUAGCACGGAAAACUGAGUGCACACAUUUGGCUAUAUGCAAACAGUCUGAGCAAACUAGAAUGUGGAAGAAAGGUGUCACCCUGAGUGCUAUAAAAGGAAUUUUUGGCACAUGAAUCCACGCAGUGAUCUGAUUCUCUGAAACACAAUCCAUGCUAUGGCUCACAUUCCCCUUGUGGAUUAUAUCAGCGAAGAAGCUGGUCCCAACACUUUUAUGAUAGCAUAACAUCAGCGUCUGGAUAUUGGUGGAACUAUCACGAGUACUAUGAUAAUAGCAAUGACUCAAAUGUAUUUAAUAUUGUUAAAAUGGGCUUGUUUCUCCACUGUCUCUCACAGUGGCUUGGAAGAGAAGUUAGGGCACAGGCGGAGAAGAUAGCUACAGAUAUUUGGUACUGAGCUGUCAAGCUCUUGAUCGUAUCAGAACUACCCCAAACAAAGAGUUAAUUCAGCAGAAGAUAAAGGAUGUACAAAUUAAUUUCAAAUUAUUCUCUUAUACACAUCUUACUACAGGGAAGUGAUGGGCAGCUGGCUGUUCUCACCCCUAAGCAGAAGGAAUUCUCUACUGGGUAGUUGUCAGCUCCAAGGUCAUUUUGUACUCUCACAUGACUUAAGAGACCAGAGAAUCAGACUUGCUGGGUUCUAUUCAGCUAACAAAUAUUAGAUAUUCUGCUUUCAUUAAUAGUAUCCUUUUGAACCUGUGAAGAUUCAUUUAAUGAGCGAGACUCUAUUUAGGUACUCAUGUCUGUCCAAGAACCCAGCUGAAAUUAAAGGAUCACACUUGUCUUCAGCUGCUAUCAUAAAAUCAUUACAGAACAUUGUAUAAUUACACCCUUCAUGCAAUUUCAUUUUAAAACACAUCCUGGCCUAGCUGCUCUUGACUAAACUUGAGAUGAGCGGGCAGAGUCGUGUGGGAUGAUACACCAAAAUUAGACAAAUGAGUGCAGGUUAGGCUGGAGGUAGAGGCUGUGAGAUUCAGGACCAAAUGCUCAGGCAGGAGCUACAGCUUCAGUUUGAAACAGCAGGGACAGAGCUGCAAGGAGGAAGUUUGCGGAGUACCUGAGAGCGCUGUGGCUGCCCACAGCUGGCACUCCCAGCCUUUCCUGUCCACCAGACACAUCGAAAUAUCUUGAGAAAAACAAGAAGGAAAACAAUUGCUGACUGUAGUGUGAAUAAUAAAAGCCUGGCUUUCCUCUUGGAACUUUACUGCUGCUCUUAAACCACCCCAGCUUCACUCUCAGGGUCCAGGAUGUCAGCACAGCUCCUCCAGUGGAUUAAUGCCUUGUAUCCACCCUAGAGCCAUCUAUGACAGCCCUUUAUAUGCUGUAUUGUAAGUCUGGGGUGGGUUUCUCAGUCAGAAGAUCAGCAUUGCCUCUCUACUCCAGAUAGCUGGUUUCUGUAUGAUAUCAUUCCAGCAAGAGCGAAAAAAAAACAGAGGUUGAAAAUAAAGCUGUGCAUGGGAUGUACUGAGCUGCCAGGAGUACAGUCCUUUGUUCUGCUGGCAGCAGGAACAGGUAGAGCAUACAUUAGAAACAUUGACAGACAGAUCCGAGAUCCUAUGGUAGAACAAAAAAGUUUUCUUAACCUCUAAUAGAUAGUGUGACUGUAAGAGCUGACUCAAAGACAAAGGCUGAAUAAGUUCUGGCUGAAACUCCAUGCAUUUCAGUUCCCUAUAAUGAAUUUGUCCCUACAACACAGUGCAAUUAUUCUUUCAAUACCAGGAUCUCUCACAUGUCCAGAGCAUUCCUACUGAUAUCAGCCUUCACUUACUGUGUAUUUUGGUUAUUUAUAUUUGGUUAUUUAGCACUACUGAGAGAAGAUGAAAAAAGAUACAGAAACCUUACCCAGUCCUUUUUGUAACUGCAAUCAAUUCUUCAAAGGCUGGUGUGCUGCCCCUCUACCAAGUACUACAGUACAGUCUUUACCUUCCCUCCUCUUUUUGCCACUGUCAGAAGGGCAGCUCAUAAACCAGCUUUGCUCUAGACUGUAUCUUAGGGGUACCAGCUAUGUGAAAAGACGCCCUUCUCCCAAGCCAGUGCAGUUUGCAUUCCCAUGGUUUUUACUCACUGUGGUUUUGGAAUACAAGAAUGAAAUCACCGGGGCUGUCACUCCAGGGCUUUUCAUCAGGAUGAAAACUACUUAAAAAUAGGCACAAAGGGAAAAGAAAAUAUAUAUUCCUUGCUGAUUUAUCUAUUAAUGCUGGAGAGCAGUUAUAUCUCUGAUGUUUUGGAGAAGGAUCAGACACCUUCAUAGUCAAACAGCACCAUCCAACAUAUGGCAGUAGAUGAAGGUUGCCUUUUGCUUCUCACAUUCACUCUGAAUCCUUCUAAAUCAUUCCUGCCAACACAAUAUGGUCCCUGAGGAUCAUUAACAUUCUUCAGAAGAGCAAAUCUCUCACUUAUAUAAUAGGUUAGGUUGCAUGGAAUAACAGGUAUGAAAAGCUCCCUCAGGGAAGACACCUGCAGAGUCUGUUCCUUGACCUUCAUUCAGCUCUGCUGCACCUACAGAUGGCUGCUGUUUGACUCAGCACUGCAUGAGCAGUACACGCUCAGAGUAUGUCCCAGGAACAAAACACUGUCCAGUGAUGCUACCUUCCAAUUUUGUUUAAAUGAAAAGCAUUCCUGUUUAAAGUCAUUAUCAACUGCAUACAUUCCUCCACUCGCUCUGUGAAUAUGUGUAUCUCAAAGUGCAAAAUUUCUAAACAGAGAUUGCUGGAGGAAGUGUCAUUCCAUAAGAGUCCCUCAAAAGACUACAAAUGCAUUAAAAAUACUCUGUUAAUGAACUGAGGUCCUAUCAGCACAGCCUGUAGCACACUGUAGCUCACGUUACUGGUACAAAUACAACCAUUUCUUUUGACUGCAGUAGGCAACCUAAUUUGAUGUAAUUCAGCUAAAUGUAAAUGGAGUCAACAUAAAACUUCCACAACACUCUUACACCUAAAUUUCUCUUGGAUUUCCUAAGCAAACAUACAUAGUACUUCCCCAGACAACACACAUAGAUAGACUUCCCAACAAGUAAUAACCAUCCAGCCGCUGUGAGGUCUUCCGCAGCUGCUCACCCUGAAACUCUGUCACUGUUGACCCAAUAAGUUUUCCUAACGCUGCAAAGCUCAUUCAACUCACUAUAAAAUAUUAUUUCAAUGUACGGAUAUGGGAUUCAGAUGUUCUUUAAGGACAAACAGAAAGGAAGAGGCAGAUUAAGAAGAUCUAGCAUUUAUCAGGUCUAAUGUUUACAUGCUGCAGAGAGGAAAAGUAUGCUAUUGAUCCCAGUAUAGUAGCUGUCCUCACAUCCUUCAAGACGCAUCUGCUCAGUGUAUCAGGCACUCUUGUUAUCCUGGGAGACUCAGAGGCUGACUUGACAACGAAGUGGAGAAAGGCCACUUGAAAUCUUUUUCUUCUCCUUGGACAAUAUGGUGGUGCUCUCAGAAAAAAACAAAUCUUCACACUUCACAAUGUAUCUCCCCAGCAUCGUCUACUUAUUAAUAAGCAUUUAUUUUACACUGGAAAGAUGAAAAGAUGUUCUCACUUUGUUCUAUCCAGUAAGUUUUUCUUCAGUCAAUGGAUAGCUGGGGCUUUUCCUACGCUGCAUGUAUGCACUGGAAAAUGUUGAUUCAGUAGCUCUUCUUCUAAUUCAUAGUUCAACUUCCACCAGCUGAUAAAACUUCUAUGCUUAGUUGUGUUCGGAGAAAAGGAGAGAGCCUGGCAACAGCAGAGAUCUAUGCAAUGGCUGACUUGUAUGGAAUUCCUGGGACUGAAGGUUUGAGCCCCAAAAUGCAGAAGCUCACAGGAAAAACAAGAAGUUUGGAGCAAGAAAAUUUAGAAGCUGAGACAUAGAAGGGUGUCUGUCACUGUGGUAGGGAAAUUCAUGGAAACUGAAAGCAAAGUGGGAGGUUCUGCUUUGGUAUGAAGCAGACGACAGUAGAUGAGUAUGGCAGCUGGACUGAUAACGUGUAUUUCAUCAAGACUGCAUCUUCUUGUGAACGGCAACAAGAAGUUGUUUUCAGACACAACCAAAUCAGAGAAAGAAAGUAAACCCACGUGACAUUCAACUGGGCUGACAGAAAACAGGACCAGCACACUUGACGUGAGACACAGGAGCACACGGUCCUCACUAGCAGUUAGAAGAGAACUCCACUUGAAGUGGUCAUUCUUUGCUCAGUUUCAAUCACCUUGAAUCAGGAAUCCCAGCUGUUCUGGCUCUGCAUUCAUUCUUGAACUCCCUACUUUUGAGUUAAGGCCGAGUAGUAUUUUGGGAGUGCGAAAAACUAAUUUUUCCCCAAAGUCCCAUCUGAAGUAAUGGCAUAAUACCUGGCUCAUUCUUUCAGCCCCACCAAACACUGACUGCCAGGAGAACAGCCUAUUUCUGUCAUUCCUAACAAAAUAUAGUUAGCUUUUAAAUACAUAGCCUUCUCUUUACUUCGUCUAACUGCUUCUUUUUGGUGCAGAUCUCUGUAAUAUCUCUUGGUUUUUGCCAGCUAUGGUCCUCUCCCUGAGAGCAACUUGCUUCUUAGAGCAUUUUAAAGCUGGACAAUUUCCCAAGUCCUUCCAGAUCUAACUUGAUCCUUUUUCCUGGCGGCCUGUACUGAAGGACAAAGCACCCACCUGCAAGGUAGGGUCCUGGUUUUAGCCUUGUCUCUGAAAAACCUGACUUCUCUGUAAUUGCUGAGAGUCACUUAAGACACCUUUAUAGAAUAAAUCAGUAUACUUCUGGUGAAUGAUAAGCCUGGAAGAGAGAAAUACUAUCUCCCUGUGCUAAGAUGGUCAAAACCACCAUAUGAAUAAGCUGAUAAUAGACCUAAAUAACAGCAACGUAACAGCAAAUGAGCUAGUUCUUACCUCCCUGACAGAAAUGCGUGUCCCUCUGCUGGAGUACCACUAUGCAAGCAGCUGGGUGGGCACUGGGAAUAUGCAAAGGCUUUGAAGUGGGAGGCUGAGCAGCCAGUGAUGGAUAAAGAUGAGCAAAGAGGGAAGAAAAGUUCUGGAGAAUCCAGAAGAAUGAAUCUGGUACAUACAGUAGAACUCUAGUGACAGCCCGUUUUGGAGGUCUUGCUCAUUCAUCUGUGGAGAUCUGAUCAAGACCAAUUUGGAUGGCCACUCUGUUCCAAAGCGGUACCGCUGUGGAGUGACAGUGAAGAGGCUGGGGCAAAGAGAGGAAGCAGGAACAUCUUAAAGUAUCAUAAGAAAAGCUAAUUGAUUCAUCUUUGGAAAAACAGUAAUCAUUAAUCUGAUUUCCACCAAACUCUGGGGAAAAAUUAAAAAUAUAUCACGGUAUUUUCUUUUUUUCUUUUUUUUUUUAAAAAAAGGGACACAUACCAUGUUCAUAGCCCUUGUCACAGUGUUAUAAAGUGAGGCUCUCACUGGCAGAUUACUCUCUGCCUAACGGGACAGGAUCACAUCUGUGAACUUGCCUGUGAUUGUGUAUGUGAUGGUCGGUACUAUACAAAAUGAGAACCAAUGGUUAAAUGAAUAAAGCACUGAACUG